rnacentral:rRNA from 1 species
UACGGAGGGUGCGAGCGUUGUCCGGAAUCACUGGGCGUAAAGGGCGCGUAGGCGGUUCGUACAGUCAGACGUGAAAUUCCUGGGCUCAACCUGGGGGCUGCGUUUGAUACGUGCGGACUUGAGUGCGGAAGAGGGUCGUGGAAUUCCCAGUGUAGAGGUGAAAUUCGUAGAUAUUGGGAAGAACACCGGUGGCGAAGGCGGCUUCCUGGACCGACACUGACGCUGAGGCGCGAAAGCUAGGGGAGCAAACGGG